CAAGUAUUAACAAGCUCCAGACCCCCAGAGAACAACGGUACCAGAAAUACUGCAGGCCGCUGUCUUCUUCUUUACAUCUGAUCUGAGGUCAGCCGAGAGUUUGGGCUGAAAAAGGACGAUGAGUGGAGCUGAACGUUCAUCUAUGAGCUCAUGAAGGCCUCAGCCUGCAGAGACUCAUUCUUCCACUUCACUGCUUCCUUUUCCUCCACUCCCUCCUCCACGCCUCGCUUCCACCACUCCACCGGGGAUGAAAGAUGGCCGCUCAUCACGCUGAAGGCUGUCAGUUAAUCGCCGCCGUUGUCAGACAGUUGGCCGUUUGGAUCCGGUUUGUUUUGACCCACUGGGUUUUCCUUCUUCCUGUCAAGUCAUCAGAUCCAGUCCACUGCAGACGCCAUCCAACCUAUCGGUCUGUUAACCAGUUUUCACAGCAGUUUACAUUUUUAACCAACAUAUUAAUGCUUUCACCAAGUUUGCAAACAUCCAUCCAUCCAUCCAUCCAUCCAUCCAUCCAUCCAUCCAUCCAUCAUCUAUACACCGCUUAAUCCUCACUAGGGUCAUGGGGGGCUGGAGUCUAUCCCAGCUGACUCAGGUGAAGGCAGGGGACACCCUAGACAGGUCACCAGUCUGUCACAGGGCCACAUACAAAGACAAACAAUCACUCUCACAUUCACACCUACGGGCAAUUUAGAAUGAUCAAUUAACCUCAGCAUAUUUUUGGACUGUGGGAAGAAGCCGGAGUACCCGGAGAAAACCCAUGCAUGCACAGGGAGAACAUGCAAACUCCAUGCAGAAAGAUCCCGGGAAAGCCGGGACGUGAACCAGGGACCUUCUUGCUGCAAGGCGAAAGUGCUAACCACUACACCACUGUGCAGCCCAGUUUGCAAACAUAUUCUGCUAAAAUUUUGAGCAAAUUACCAGAAGAAAAUGGUGGCACUAAUUCUCCAAUUGCUGCCAUCUACCCCUUGAAGAAGCACAGUACAUUGGAAAAACCUGAUUUUUAAAAAAAAAAAAUUAAUGUUUUUAAGGGUCUCUAAAUGUCAACCAAAGACUGUAUUUUAGUAGAAAUACGGAUUCAUCCAUAUAUAUAUACACUUACAGGAAUUUUAUGAGGCCUAUAUCCUAUACCCCAUAUUAAGUUCCAUAGAAUAUUUUGUGUGCCUUUUGAGACUUUCAUGUGUUUCCAGACCGGAGAAUUUAGUAUUUUCCAAAAAAAAUGUCUGACACAUGAAGCUAUUUUAAGGGUUCAUUAUCUCUAGAACUAUAACACCCAUAGGUAUCUACCAAGUACAUGUUUGGAUUCACUUGGUGAGGCAAAAAAAGACUCUAGACCCCCAUGAACACCAACAUCUAGACCCCCAUCAAAACUUUGAUUAAAACCAGACACAAUGGAGCAAUACGUUUCAUUAUUGCAUAAUGUCGUUGUUGCUGCUUUAAAAUUUAAAAUUCAAGGCUGAAUGUUGGCAGAAUGCCCCUUUAAUCUGCAGCUGGGUGGAGUUGGGGGCUGAAUACCUUCAGAGGCGAGUCGGGGCAGGAACCAACCUUCAAAUACCUGUGUGCUGUUAUGUGUGUGUGGUCUCCAGGUUAACAAAGCAUCUUCAGAAAGCAUUUUGUGUGUUUUGUGUGCGCUUAAUUCAUUUCUUUACAUCGUCUCUGCAGCUCAGUGGGUUGUUUGAGGAAACUUUAUUGUUCUAAAGGCAGCAGGAAGAAGACCUGGAAGGGUUUUCAUGUGAGCUCGUAACCCAGACGGUCCAUCUAUGUGGCUGCAGAUUUUAGGCUGCAGGGCCUUUGUGGGCCAAAGUGGAUGACGAUGUGUUCGUCACAGGGAUCCAGAAGGCAUGAAUUAGCCUUUAAACACUACUGUGCCCUGCGCUUUGACUCACAGGUUACUGUAGUUCAUCUGUGGCCUGUCAGAAUGAGUCCUUUCAGUUCUGUGUUCAUCAUAUUUUCUGUACAAGCUGAUACUACAGAUAUCUGCCUUAUUAGAGACAACACCGAAUUACAAAGUGUCUUAUUGGGUGUUUAAAUGUCUUUUAUCCACUUUAUUGCCUUUAUUACACGCCGGUAUUUACUUCUGUUUGCUAAGUCGCAGUGGUCUCGCUGUCACACAGUAUUUUCCUGUAAUAAAUUCUUCCAUUUGGGAAGCCAGUAGCCCCAAGAAAGUAUGACUACACUUUUAACCAGUCAGCAAUAAACCACCACUAGUUCCUGCUGUUAUUCCCACACUUUUACGGUUAAUUUCUCUGAUAUUAGUUACCUCCCUGCACACAAAUGUUCCACCAAAUCAAUCCCCCAGUCGUUACUGUGAACACUGUCGCAGCAUCUGAUCCGAUUCUUAGCAAGAAAUACAAACAGAGUAUUUUCCCCCCUAGGGCAAAAAAAUGUAAUGUGGUGCAGUCAGACCAUUCUACAAGGAGCUGUGUUACUACUAGAGAAUGGUCUGACUAUGUGAGACAACUGUGGUCAGUGUUAAAACAUACAAACAAAUCACAGCUUUUUUAUAACCCCCUAUAGCAUACAGCAGAAUUUCACUGAAGUUCAGUCAGACCAUUCUACACAGCACUAGAGAAUGAUCUGGCUAUGCGAGACAACUGUGACCGGUUUAAAGACAUACAAACAAGCCACAGCUUUUAAAAAAAAAAAUCCCCCUAUAGCAUACAGCAGAAUUAUAAGGAGGUGCAGUUAGACCAUUCUACGCAGCACUAGAGAAUUGUCUUGCUAUGCAAGACUGCCCUUGUACUUCUCUUUAACCCUUGAGUCAUUCUGCGGGUCAAAAUUGACCCGUUUCGAAGUUUGAAAAUGUGGGAAAAAAAAUAUUUUUAUGUCCACAUUUUCAACAUUUUUGGGAAAUUUUUGAACAUUUUUUGGUUGAAAAAAAGAAAUGUUAAAAAUGUUUCUUAAGAACAUUCAUGAAAAAAUCAACCAAAAUCCAAUGAAUUUUCCACCAAAAAAUGUUCAAAGAUUUCCCAGAAAUGUUGAAAAUGUGUACAUCAGAAGCUUCACUGUGAAAACAUAUUUUUUUCACAGAGGCUACACAGAGUUUUCUUCCACCUAUGGCGGAAUGAUAAUGAGGUACAGUCAGACCAUUCUACACGGUGCUAUAGAAUGGUCUGACUGUGUGAGACUGCAAACACUUUUGGAACAUAUCGUUGUGUUGAAUAAAUCACUACUUAUUUAAGGUUAGAUGGUAUAAAAAAACUAAGAGGGCCUCAGUUUGUGAAUCUGGAAGAUUCCUGAUUUUCAUAACACAGUCAGCAACUUCAAAACUGUUUCAUUAACGCAGUUUUUUUGUCGUACAGUUUAUAGAAUCUGUCAGCUUUUGUAAACAUAAAAAAGUGAAACUCUUUGGAAAUGCUGAUAUUGUAUUAUGCAUUAUUCUUUCUUCUCAAGUUCCUGUUUUGCCGAGUUUGUCUCCUGGUGCUUAGCUGUGUGUCGUCUUAAACAACAACAACAAAAACAACAACAACAAC